CCUGGCAAUAUAUUUAAUCCACUUCAAUUCCUCCCUCCCCCUCGCGGGCCCCGGACUUGCCCCUCUAGGGGAGGAAGAUGAGCAGGUUGGGGACCCCCAGGGGACAUAUGGGAACCAGAAGAAUGUAUAGCGAACAUUAAAUUCCCGUCGUACCCCGAUUUUAAGCAAGUGGGUUCCUGCAAACCAUGAUGGUCCCCAAGGGGGUCAUCCUGGAGCAAAAAGGCCCAUAGUUCGAAUUUUCUUCGCCAAACCUACGAUACUAUGGACAAUCCCUGAGGGUGAUAUAUUGCGCGCGCCGAUGGUCUACUAAUGAACUAAGUAGACGUCAGACCAUAUGGGCGUUAUUGCCACGGUGCUUCGAAUGGUCUAACCAGGGGGAAAUGCGUCAUGACUGACCAUUCUAGUGCUUUGAGAGAGUUGAUUGGAAUGGCGAUUGACUUGACUUCGUUUAUUUCAGGAUAAUAUAAAGUAUAUAUAUAGUCAAGGUACAGACAGGAUUUUGAGGUCAGCGCGGGAGUAUAUCAGCCCAGGAAUUUCACUUCUGCAUGUCUUCUUGAAGAAAGGUUUAAAACGCACGAGACCAAUUUGCAAGAUUAUUUGCAUGUGGAGGAGUUCCGGUGGAUGGGGAAAGCAAAAGAGACCUAAACCCGGAUGACAUCCUUUUCCAUCGUAGGUACUUCACCUAGGUUAGGGAUAUAACUAUAUUGCCGUCUCAAAUAAGCAUCUGUAGGUGAAACAGCAGUCCCAUGGGAUCGAACAGUAUGUUCUGCUGGUGCUGUAAUCGUUGAUUCUUGUCUACUACUCAACAGAUGGAUCAAUGCAAGAAAAUAGAGGAAGGGUUGAUGGACAAUGGGGCAAAAGAAUCCCUUAGGUUGUUCUUGACAAUAAGCUUCAGGGGAAAGAAGACGAAACAGCACAAGGAAUGGGUAAAUGAAUAGGACACAAGAAAAACAUCACACUAGAAAUCGUGUUUUACCUAUUUUUCUGUAUCCCAGAGAACAAACAGUGGAAAGUAAGGAGGUCAAGCAAAUUAAUACAAAGAAAAAAAAAACACGAAAUAUAACCACCUUCAACUGCACUCGCCAUCCCCUUUCCUUCUUUCGGGGACCUCCCAGUUCGUUCCAUUCAGGUAGAGAAAUUUAAAUAGAGUUGGCAAGAGAAAAGAAGCAAAGAUGUCAACGUAUGCCAACCGCUAUCUAUGCAUCCACUUUUCAUUGUCACUUUUCCCAUCAAUACGUCGUAUCAACAAGGUGAAGUUAAAAAAUUAGAUAUCUUAAACAAAAGGUGCAGGAAUGGAACAAGAUGACCGUCCAGUGCAUCAAUCGUAGUUAUCAUAUCCACAGCGCAGGACGAGAGAAACCAUGUUUAUUUCCGAAUCAACCCGUUCCCAGGAAAGAUAGAAAAGAAUCAUUACAUAAAAAAUAUCCCGAAUUGCCUAACGACUGCCAACCUCCUUAAUAUGUCCUUGCCAGAUUUCGCAAGUACCAAUCCACCAACCUCCUCCCUGCCUUCGCCUCACUAAUAUGAAUCAGAUCGCCCUCGAUAGCAUAAUCCAGGUCAUUUGCAUUCGCAACCUCCCCUUCCAACAACCCACCAUCCGACCAUCGGAUCUGUCGGCUGCGCUGCUUAUUGACAAGUAGCCAUGAGCGCAGCUGCUGCGGCUCCACGUCCAAAAAGCCCGCAAGCUUCUGCAGAUCCAUCGUCGUGUAGAGCUUGAGGUAAGACUUGACGGUGGGGUUGUAUAGGGUGUUGCGGACCUCGUCCAUGAAGAUGGCCGUUUGGUGGUCAACGGGGUCGACGUUCAUGGCUGGGUUUUCGAAGUCUGGCGGGGUUGGGCUGAUGAAUUUGGGGCAGGCUGAGCGGAAAAGCUCUUCGAAGAGCGGGAGGGCUUCGGGUCCGCCGUGCUGGAGGCGGUUGAAUUGCUCGCCAUAUUUCUCGCGAAGAGCGGAGUGGAUGGUGUCGUCGAGACGGGUGGGGUGGAAUGCGACGCAGAUGGCAAUUAGGGCGUACAUCUGGUCGUUCUUCUUGGCGAUGGCAUCGUAGCUGUUGCUGCCCUUCUGGAAGUUCUUGGUGCGGGAUACAUAGACGAGGAUGUGACUGAACAUGCGAAUGGCGUCGGCGUAGCGGCGCAUCAUCAUGUAGGAGAAGCCUACGUAGUAGUACGUCGUGAAGUGGGCGGCCAUAACGCGGGCAAACAUGGCCUUUUUGUUCAUCUCGAUAUCAUCGAGAGUUUUGAGGGCGAGACUAAAGUCGCCAAGCAAGCAGUGGACGCGGAGUAGACCGAUGAUAGAAAAAUACCCCAGCAUUCGGUAGAGAGGCCGGUUUCCGUAUUCUCCUGCAACGGCUGCGGGGUCUUCGUUGCGCUUGAUUGCUGC
rnacentral:sRNA from 2 species